rnacentral:lncRNA from 1 species
GCAUGAAGGACCACAAGAUCCCUUUGUAGCUCGACAUUGACAUUUCAUCGUUUUGCAAGAAGAGCUCUUACUGCAAGUGCAGCACACAUCAGAUGUUGACGUGGGUUUCACUGCCUCAUCUGAAGGAGAGUCCAGGUUCUCUUCGUAUGAACGCCUCGGCACCACACUAGAGCGCCGUCUUCCCACUUUGAAGUUUCUUUUCCUGUUCAGUUUUAUAACUGAUUCCUGCUCCGACUCACGCUCUGAUUCUUGCUCAGGUUUCCACUCAUCGUCAAGAUCUGGAUCUUCCCGUUCAUGGUCCGAGUCAUCAGAAUCAGAGGUGUCCAUGUCCUCAUGAACUAUAACCGAGUUCCGGGCUUCCUGCUUUUUCAAGCUGUGCUCGUUGUUUAAAUUCCCCUCCGCAGACCUUUUGAUCAAUUCAGAAGCCUGUAAAAAGGAAUCCAUGCAAAAUUUCAGAGGAUAAGUGGCAUUAGCUAUCAAGAUAAAACAAGAGUAGUAGAAGCUAAUUUUACUAACCUGUGCCUUCACCUGAUGCGCGAGGUCUGCUUUUUGGAUCUCCAAGUAUCUAACAAAACUGCUAAACUUCACAAUUUUUUCUUUCAGGUCUCUUAUUAGGACGUCCUUUUCCCUGCAGUCUGCUUCUCUAUCUCGAGCUAGACACCUUUUAAUUAAACAAUGGACAUGUAUAAGAAUAAAGAGUGAGUUGGGAGUCAUAUUUGGAAUAUGAUCUCUAAAAAAGCUUCAGUGAGAUCUUACCUCGCAGUUGAUGCCAAAUUGAACAGAUAGUUCAUGAUACUCUUUGCGUCACCUAAUGUUCGAACUUGGUUCCACCUCCCUCUUCCACCAAAUACACGCUCCCGUUCCUCUGCUUCAGACAAUUGUGAUGCCAUGGAAACGAGAGUGUUUGAAGAGGUCGCAAGCAUAUUCUCCAGAGCAAAAAUCCUUGAGUUUCUUGCACCCGGAGACAUGGUAUCAUCAUCAACGCUGCUUUGGUUACAGAAGACGUAAACGGUUUACUAUUUUUUCAGUAAUGAAAUGGUAGUGGUACUGGUUUAUGCAAAAUCACCACUCACCUUAUCUUGGCAUUCUUGAGCAACUCGUUUUCUUCCCUUAGCCUUGCAACUUCCUUCGCCAUUCUUGCUCUCCUGAAUUAUAGACAGGAGAAAGUUUAAUAGGAACAUUAUUUUAGAAUCAUGCCAUGAAGAAAGAUAUAAAACAAGCACAUACUCUUCCAUUUGCCUCUCGUACUCAGAACGCACUUCGUGAACCCGAACAGUGACUUCAAUCUCAUGCUCAAUUGCUUGCAUCAAUGCCUGCAAAUAAAUCAUCAGAAAGUUGCAUUAACAAACCAACCAACACAGUCACCUAAGUAACUGGAAAAACAAAGCAUCGGUUUCAUAUAAGUUGGCGGGUGUUACCUGAGUUCCUGGACCAUUAGCACUUGCACCACCUGCGUAUAUAGUAGGAUAACCAGUUAGUAAUUUAUACCAACAAAGAUAGAAUAAUUUAUACCAACAAACAUAGAACUGAUUAUACUAAUCCUUACUCAAUGUCUCCCGCGAAGACGCCUUUCGAUUUUCUAAAAGCUCUUUGAGUCUUUUUGUCGCCUGGGAAGCCUCUUCUGUCUUUCUUUGCAAAACCUGUUAAAACCACAGACGAUUGAGCAGACAUGAUAAUAGAAAAGAUCAAGUUAAUUUGUCUGAAAGUUUAUAAAGAUGUGCGCACCAGCUUCUGUUUUUGAUUCAGAGCCAUGAGCUUGUGCAUCUCAUACUCGUUUCUCCUUCCCUCUUUUUUUAGCUGGUUAAAUUUCAAAAUACAAUAUAACGAGAGGUUCAGUACACACAAGAGAUUUCUGAAUAACCAUGUCAAAUGUCUUCCAAACUACAACGAGACUUUCUACAAGCACAUGUUGUAUUUGAAUAGAGGUGGUGACUAAUGAUUGAGAAGAUGAAACUUGUUUAACUUGUUCCUUAGUGGUGCAAGACAGACACACUUAUCAAUCAAGUAAGCCUCAAAGUGAUCAAGAAAAAUCUAAUAUACCUGCAUGACUUCCUUCUCUCUUGAGGCCUUCCAAGCCCUGAACUGUUCUGAUUCUUGCUUAAUUUUUUGCUGCAAUUGCACCUGCAAGUCCAACCGAAGCAGAAAAGUAUAGUUAAGAGACACAGCAUGAGCAUAUAUGUUACAGUGUAUUAAAAUGGAGAUCACAGGAGAAAAAGAACACCUUUUGGGACUUAAUUCUGUGUAUUUCAUCUUGUAGUUUUCUUGCUGCGUCGUCACUUUUCUGCUUUUGCCUUAAGAGUUGAGCUUGUGCAUCUUGUUUCUUCUUCAACUCAGAAACCUAAAGGGACGAUGCAUCAUGAAAAACCAUACUGUAUGUAGAUGACUGAGUAUAGCUGAUAAACCAAAAGAGGCGGUACCUGGGUUUCAAGCGUGUUCAGUUUCUGAAGAUACGAUUCCUUUAGUUUUUGGGCACCAUCGCCUGGGGCAGAUGGUAUGCUCCGCGAUGCGGGUUUAAAUAUUUUCAUAAUUUUUGAAAAGUUCUUUGUACACUAUAUUCAUAAUUUUAGUAAAAAUUUUAUUUGAUUAAUAUUUAAUUAUAUAAUUUAUGUUUUUAAUUUUUUACUAAAAUACUUUUUCGGAUAACAAUACAAUAUAUAUAUAGAAAUUAUAUUUUUUAAUUAUAUUUUUAUAUUUUGGAUAAUUCAAUAUUUUAUUUUUAAUUAUAUAAUUAAGAAUUUUAUUUGAUUAAUAUUUAGUUAUAUAAUUAACUUUUUACUAAAAGACUUCUUCAUAUAACAAUACAAUAUAUACAAAAAUUAUUUUUUUUUUAAUUAUAUUUUCAGAUUGUGGAGAAUUUUUACUAUUAUUUUUAUUUUAAAAUUUUGGUAGUAUAUUCGAGACUCAUAACGAUUUCUAGUCUAAAAUAAAGGUUGUUUGUAUAAAUAGAUUCACAUUUAAAUAAAAAAAAGAUACAAAUUCUGAAGGAAAAAAAACAUAUAUAUAAUUAAGUACAAUAAUUUUCUUGAAUUACUUUAUUCAAAGCUCUAAAAUUUUCUGGAAGUGUUUCACGAGUUAGAAAGGGGCUUUUGUGUAAUUGUCAUCAGAAGUUAGUUUAAUACCAGAAGAUUAUUACCGGAGACGACAGCUUUAAGAAGGAACGUGGGCAAUUAACACUGUUUUAGGUUGUCGGUGGGGAAGAAAAAAUGACAUAUGUGGACAGAUUUUCAAUUAUUCUCAUUUAUCUACUUGUGUUUUUCAAGAUUUAAAAAGCUAAAAUCGUCGAAUUUAAGGUGUCGAUAUAUAAUGUGAAAAUAUGAGACUACUAUUCUAAAAAAGAAAAAAGACUAGCCUUGGCUUAUUAAUUUCGUACUGGUAAAGUGGUAGUAUGGUAUUGUUUGUUGAUUCAUUAGUUCAUUAUUAAUUUUACUGAUAUAGUAUUGCCGACACUAUCAAAAACUAACCCAAUAGUAACAUUCGGUUUGGUUUUUGUUUGACUAAAAUAUCCGAAAUAAAGACAACAAACCAAACACCAGUUGUAUUAAUAUUAGUGGUGAAAGUUUCAUUCAUUAAUUGAUCACCGUGAAGGCGUGAAACUAACCAUCAAGUUCAAACAUGUAUCUCAAUGAUUUUGUAUUGUCAACAAGACUCACAACUCUAAAAAUUCGCAUAUGCAUUCGUUCAUCUAGAACAUGUUCUUGACACACACCAAAACAAAGAUUAUCGGAUAAUAAGAAAAAGAUCCAAACCCAUCUUUCCUCGUUCGUCAAGCAACGUCUCCGUUUCCUGGUUAGAUCCGACGAGUGUGGUUCUCUUUUUCAUCUGAAGUUGUACUUCCACUUGCCCCACCAGAACUGCUCUGCACAAAACCACCAUUACCAACUGAUUCACCACCGCUUUGGUCGGCGUUUCUUUCUCUCAGCAUGUUGCUGCCUUUAGAAGUCAUCGACCUCGGUAGCUUCAGUUUGGUAUUAUUUGCCUCUCCAGAGUCGCUCGGCUCCUGAGAUGAAGUUGUUGCUGUUGUUGCUGGUGGUGGAUCUACAACGAGCUGAAGCAGAGGCUUCCUCCAUUUCCUUCGUUUCAUUGGCUUUGGCACAUUUGUUUUACCCUGAAACCAAAUAUCAUCAAAUAAGCUAUCUGCUGUCACAGAAACGGAGAAAUGAUCAAAUACAAUGAAAAAGUCUUAGAGAAUGUUACCGUCGUGUUUCCUAUGUCUGACAGAGGCUUUCUUCUUGUUCUGGUUCCUUCUCCAUCAUUAGUCUCCUCAACUGGCUUGUCAGCAAGAGCGUUUUGGAGCAGCAAAGCUCCACGUGAAGCAAGGACUUGUUGUUGUUCUUCCUGAGAACUCUCACUGUUGUUGUUCUGCUUUUCGUCUGCGUUCCUGUUGGAACAUUUAACUGAAGAGCAACCGCAUGAAGGACCACAAGAUCCCUUUGUAGCUCGACACUGACAUUUCAUCGUUUUGCAAGAAGAGCUCUUACUGCAAGUGCAGCACACAUCAGAUGUUGACGUGGGUUUCACUGCCUCAUCUGAAGGAGAGUCCAGGUUCUCUUCGUAUGAACGCCUCGGCACCACACUAGAGCGCCGUUUUCCCACUUUGAAGUUUCUUUUCCUGUUCAGUUUUAUAACUGAUUCCUGCUCCGACUCACGCUCUGAUUCUUGCUCAGGUUUCCACUCAUCGUCAAGAUCUGGAUCUUCCCGUUCAUGGUCCGAGUCAUCAGAAUCAGAGGUGUCCAUGUCCUCAUGAACUAUAACCGAGUUCCGGGCUUCCUGCUUUUUCAAGCUGUGCUCGUUGUUUAAAUUCCCCUCCG